rnacentral:rRNA from 1 species
AUUGAACGCUGGCGGAAUGCUUUACACAUGCAAGUCGAACGGCAGCACGGGGCAACCUGGUGGCGAGUGGCGAACGGGUGAGUAAUACAUCGGAACGUGCCCAAUCGUGGGGAUAACGUAGCGAAAGUUACGCUAAUACCGCAUACGAUCUACGGAUGAAAGCGGGGGAUCGCAAGACCUCGCGCGAAUGGAGCGGCCGAUGUCAGAUUAGGUAGUUGGUGGGGUAAAGGCUCACCAAGCCAACGAUCUGUAGCUGGUCUGAGAGGACGACCAGCCACACUGGAACUGAGACACGGUCCAGACUCCUACGGGAGGCAGCAGUGGGGAAUUUUGGACAAUGGGCGCAAGCCUGAUCCAGCCAUUCCGCGUGCAGGAUGAAGGCC